rnacentral:lncRNA from 1 species
AGUCGCAAGUGUUUUAUUUGAAGAUGAAGGGUGAUUAUCAUCGUUAUUUAGCUGAGUUUAAGAUUGGGCAUGAGAAAAAAUCUGCUGCUGAAGAAACCUUUUUUUCUUAUAAGGCUGCACAGGUUCUCUUUUACUCAUAAUUGCUUUAAAUUUUCAAUUUUUUACUUGUUUAGAUUGGGAUUUAAGUUCUGUUUGUUUAGCCUUGGAAAAAAUUGAUUUUGAAAAUGUGAUUUACUUUUAAUUGAUGUUUAUAGAAGUUAGAUGGAUUUGGUUAAAUUUAAAUAUAUAAAAAAAAUCAAUUUUUACUUGAGAAGACCUGCUUCUCAAAAUAAUCAACAAAUCUAAUUAUUUUGAUAUGCUGCUUAUUCAAAAAAAUGUUACCUGAACAUAAGUCAUGUCUUGUAAAAAAUAUUAAAUUAGUUAAGAAAUUAGACAAAAUUUUAAUGUUCUGAUUUUGGGUUGUUUUUAAUUUUUUUCCCAUAGGAUAUUGCUCAAGUUAAUCUUCCACCCACACAUCCAAUUAGAUUGGGUUUGGCUCUGAACUUCUCUGUGUUCUACUAUGAAAUUCUCAACCAGUCUGAUAAGGCAUGUGGGAUGGCUAAACAGGUAUGCAUGGUUUAUGAAUUUCAAUUGGAGAGAUAAUCUGGCUUGUGUUAUUUGAUUUGAGCUGUAGAAGUUUGUCAAGUUUUGUUCUGCUAUAAUCUGUCCAGAAUUGCAUGAUUUAUUGAUAUAUGAAUUUCAAAUCUGAUUUAUUGUAAUGGCAUGAUUUGUACUUGCGCCGAGAAUGAUUUAUUGGAAUCUUAUAAAAGUAAGAGGCCCUGGUUCUGUUUGAGUUGGGUAUAUGGUCCUGUACCUAAGGAGAAGAUUGUUGAAAACUAGGAAUUUUGUUAAUUUCUCUAGUUUGGUUUGCUUUAGAAUCUGUUUUCUCCAAAUAUUGUGAAGUUUUAAGGAUCCAGUGUAACAUAACUUUUAUUCCACUCUGACCACAAACAGAAAUAAGGUUAACAUGGAUAGUAGUUCUUACUUAUGUGUGUGUACCCAUGAUAGUUGGGCCAAUGAAUUACAAUAACAUAGAAGUUUGACUUUCACAUUCGGGUUGUUUGCAGUUUCACAGGUGAGGCUAAGGUUAUUCUGAGGGAACUUAUAGUUUCUGAAAGUGAUUGUGUUCAGUGUGAAUUAUGGUACUACAUUGAAUGAAUUUGUACUAGUACCGAGUAUUUUUAACAUGAAGCUUGGUAAUUUUUUCACUUCAAUUGGACUAUUGACAAAAGGGGAAGUUGCAUACAGAAGCAAGUUAACAAAAAUACUUUCGCUUUGUUUCAACAGAACUAUUUUUUAGAAAUAAAAUGUUACUAUUUAUUUACAAUGAUGUUAUUAUGCUUUCCCUGUACCAAACUCCCGAAACUUUAACUCAAAAAUUAAAAAUUCCCCCCACAAAAGAAGUAUACUUCAAUUUGUCUAUAAAUUAAAACCAGUCAUAUCUUGCUGCAACCCUCAUAUAAGUCACAUGAUUCCAUGUUUUCUUGUGUUCCAUUCAUGCUUGGCUUCUAUUUUACCGAGUACUGCCGUAGGAGCAUAGUCUUAUUGAUCCUAAAAAUUUACUGAACCUUAGUCUUUCCAAUUUUUAAAGGCUUUUGAGGAAGCAAUUGCUGAGCUGGACACCCUGGGAGAAGAAUCCUACAAAGACAGCACUCUCAUAAUGCAACUUUUGAGAGACAACCUCACUCUUUGGACUUCUGAUGUUCAGGUAAAUAUUACUAUAACCGAACCCCACACCCAUUAUAGAAUAUUCUUCUGUAAAAACAGUUUGAUCAAUCUCUAUUUCCUAAUGCUAAGUUAAGCUAUAUUUGAUUCCCUGCAGGACCAACUAGAUGAGCCUUGAUAUUGAUUUGAGGGGUCAUAUUCUUCCUCUGAAGGAGGUGGGCUUUGAAUGUCAUUUCUUUGUGCUGAUUAAGAAUUGCCCUAGUUUAUAUAAGAUUAUUGACAAUCUGUGAUUAUAAUGUUUUGUGAACAGAAGAAGACCAAACCAAGUUUUUUAUUGUGUUAUGUGAUUUGGAAUGGAUUUUGUAUAAUGUGAGAUCCAAUCAAUUAUAUUUGGUGCAUUAUUAUUCUCACAUGGAAGUAGCAUCAUUCAUAUAUCAAUUGUGAUGAUAGUGCAUGAUGCUGACAUAUAUAUAUAACUUUUUCCAAUAUAAAUAUCUAAUUUGUUUGUUACAUAUCAAACACCAAUUUCUGAAAGUGUCCAAAAAAACACUAGAUUUGUAGGACUGGCUUUUCAAUACAAUUUGGCCCAAUGUUGAAGGUACCAAUAUUUUUUUGUUCUACUAAUUGAAAGAUAUUUCCCUUCUCAAUCUGUCAAAAGAUCUGUGUUGAAGUAGUGAGUAUAUGAUAUACUUACAUGAGUUAAUAAAGAAGCAGUCCUAUACAUGCUGAUGCUGCACUUUACUCCUCUAGUGAUAGCAAUAAUAUACUAAACAAUAACUUUACCGUUCACUGUUGUGCUCGUGCGUGCGGCCGGAAGGUUUCUCAAACAUGCAAAUUUCACACCAUGUUUCAACUUUUGUCAGCAAAUCCAAAUGAGUAAAAUUAUACUCAUUUUAGUUUUGUUGGUUGUUUUUUUGUUGGUACCAGCAUUUGAACAUGGGUCUGAUUGAUAUAAUUUCAAAGCAUCAAAGAGACCCAAAAUGCUAGUAAAUUAUACUCGUUUGAUAAUUUGGAAAUUCUUUUCAUUUCCUUCUUUAUAUUUCUUAUUAAUUUCACUCACCAAUUGGUUAGAAGAAAGAUAUGGGGUAUAAAAAUGGAGUUAGGAUCAUCUCCAUUAAUGGAGAGACAAGUAUACCUAAAACAUGAGUAAAAAGGUAAUAUGACUUAACAUUUUUAUCCUUAAGAUAUAAUGAAAUAACAUUUUUACCCUUACAUGUAAGUAUAAAAGUGAUCACUUACCUCUCCAUUAAUGGAGAGUAUCCUAACUCAUAAAAAUGAAGCCUAAUGAGUAUCUAUAGGGACCUAAACAAAUUAUCUUUUCGUUCUAUAGUAUGAACUUUAAGGAGUAUGAAGUUUCAUUUUUUAUUUGAUAUAAGUAAGUCGAUAAAGAAUCCAUUUAACUUCAUUUGUUCCAUGCCAAAAGCAUACCUACAUCACGAUAACCCUUCUUUGAAAAACUUUAGAGUGCUCUAGUUUUUGGAUAACAAAUGGACCUCCCGACAAUUUUAAUGUAGCUGAUUUCUCCUCGUUUAGUUAGGGUACAUGCUCUCUAGCUAAGGAUGUGUUAGGAAAGUUAAUAAAGGAUAUUAGAAGAACGUAUGUAUCUCAUUGACCAAAUAGUUGCAACGCUCUGUACAAUUUGAAACUACAUUGUAAUGUUACUUUUGGGUUUGAGAAACGUUUUAAAAAUUGGAAAUCGGUAAUUGUGAUUUAUUACAUUUAACGAAAUUGAAGGAAUUUAUUUUGGUAAAAAGCAAUGCGCUGACAUAUUAAUAUUUAUAGUUUUACACAGUACAAAGUGGAGAAAUUGGUGGCCAUCUUAAAUUCUUACUUAAAAUAAAAACAUGUUUACAUAAAAUAUAAGAUUUUCAUGAUAUUUUUGUAAGAGUUUAAUAUUUAAAUAUUCUUUUUGCAAAUAUUGUUACAUAAUUGAUACACCAUUCAUUACUAAUAUAUAUAUUAUUUGUAAUUAAUUUUAUUUAAAAGUCAUUAAGAAUUAAAAUAUAUAUGAAUGACAAGUGAUAUUCUUUUGGUACUGCCAAAUGUAUAAAUCAUUAAUUCAUUUUGAGGUUUGUGGCUAUCCCCUCUUAACAAGUGUUGUUCUCAGAAAAAAAUUAGAAAAUUAAUAAUACUUUUGACAAAAAGAUAUCAUUACUCUAUAUAUAUUUGAAUAGAUACACCAGUAACAAUGUUAAAUGUAACACGUUAAGGAGUCAUCUCCCUUUGCUGGUUAUGUGGAGACAUAACAAUUAGAUAAAUGCAUUUAUGUUUUUUAGUAUUAUAAUUUAAUGCUAAAUUUUAAUUAAGUGAUGAUUUUAAUGUGUUAUUUCUAUAUAAAUAUGUCUUCGUACAAGUUUUUUUCGAUAACAUUAUAGCAUGUAAGUUACGAAAUGACAAAGGGCAUCACUUAUGAAGGUGACACGUGGGACAAGUUACACAACAACAUGUGGUUUAGAAUAGUUGGCUCAUUUCUAAUUUCAACUAAUCCUCAAUUUGUCACUAAUUGUGAUGAAGAUGAGAAGGUCAUAAAAGUCCUAUCUGUCCAACUCAUGGAUGGUCACAAAUACAGCUCAAUCCUACACAUUACAUACCUUUAUUUAUAUUUUCACAUAUUAUUAUAUACUCCAAAAAUAUUAUUCUACACCUCACUCAACUUAUAAAUCUCCCAAAAAACUUAUUAUAAAAGGUUUAAUUAUUCAACUUAAAAAUAAUUCAAAUAAAUCUCUAAACUGUUUAAAAGUUAAAAUAGAUUUAUCUUUCUUUUUUGAAAUUUUUAUAAUUGUAAAUACAAAUACAGAAAUUAUUUAUAAAGUUCCCUCAAAAAUCAUUAUAAAAGGUUAAUUAUUAUAUACCUUCAAAAUACUUCAAAUAAGUCUCUAAAAUUUAAAAAUUCAAAUGAAUUUCAUAUAUUUCAUUUCGAAAAAUUAGAAUACUUUUUUUUUUUGUUUAGAAUACUUAUAUUAUUUCUUGUUUUUAUUACAAUGUUUAAUAAUUUAAAGAGAGAGUUGUGACUAAUGUAUUAAUGAAUACUUAGGAUUAUAUAGUUUUUUUUAAUAUGUUAAAAACAAAAUGAAAGUGAAAAUUACAUAUUACAAAUAUACGACCAAAUUUAAAUAAAUAAACAAAUCUCAAUGUAUAAUUUCUAGUGCUGCCAAUAGUAUUUUUCACAUUUUUACGUAAGGAACUAAUUGAUUCUUCCAACAACUGCUGCUUCUAAGAAUCGAAUCUUCAACAACUGCUGCUUCCAAGAGUCGAAUCUUCAACAACCUUGAGAUGAAGUACAAUGAGAUCUUACAUCAUGAAACCAAUUAGUUCUAUAUGCAUCUUUGAAUUAUAAUCAUAUAUUACCAUUUUUAAUUGAAAAACUAUUUAAAUUUCCUAAUAAACUAUAUUCUCAUACAUUAGUAUAACCGAAUAAAGGGGCGCAUAUAUGCUGUUACACAUUUAGUAUUAUUAUAUGUAAUAUGACUUUAUGAUUUAUCAAAAAAUUUCUUAAAAAUUAAAUUAUAACUUAAAUAUAUUUUUUUAUACAAUCACAUAUGCUGCCAUGUGAUUGUUUGUUUUCAUUCAUUAAAAUAUGAUAAGAUAGAUUUAUUAUGGAGGGCAACGAUUUAAAUUUCCAUUAUAUUUUUUACUUUAUAUAUUUUGAUUUGCACUUAUAAUUUUAUCAUAUAUUUUAUGUAUUUUUAUUAUUUUAUACGCGUAUCCCCUGAACGUAUCGUAUCCUGUAUUUUGGAAAGAAAAAAAUACGUAUCGACGUAUCAGAUACGUAUCAUACCCGACAUAGGUAUCACUAAUAAACCUCACCCACCAUAAAAACACGCAGUCUCUCUUUCAGUCUCUCUUCUCGUCUUUGACAAUCCCAAUCCCCAAAAUCAAAAAAUGGUUUCUUCAAUCUCAGAAAACCUAACCAACGACCAAUACGUUUACCUCGCAAAACUCGCCGAACAAGCCGAACGCUACGAAGAGAUGGUUCAAUUCAUGCAGAAGCUCGUAACCUCUUCCACCUCCGAACUCACCGUUGAAGAACGCAACCUUCUCUCCGUCGCGUACAAGAACGUUAUCGGUUCCCUCCGUGCCGCGUGGCGCAUCGUAUCUUCAAUUGAAAUGAAGGAAGAGGGUCGCAAGAACGAUGAACAUGUUGUGCUUGUUAAGGAUUAUAGAUCUAAGGUGGAGAAUGAGCUUUCUAAUGUUUGUGAUAGUAUUCUUAAGCUUCUUGAUGAUAAUCUUAUUCCUUCUGCGACUUUGAGUGAGUCGCAAGUGUUUUAUUUGAAGAUGAAGGGUGAUUAUCAUCGUUAUUUAGCUGAGUUUAAGAUUGGGCAUGAGAAAAAAUCUGCUGCUGAAGAAACCUUUUUUUCUUAUAAGGCUGCACAGGUUCUCUUUUACUCAUAAUUGCUUUAAAUUUUCAAUUUUUUACUUGUUUAGAUUGGGAUUUAAGUUCUGUUUGUUUAGCCUUGGAAAAAAUUGAUUUUGAAAAUGUGAUUUACUUUUAAUUGAUGUUUAUAGAAGUUAGAUGGAUUUGGU